GUUGAAAAACUGGUUCCUGUACGAUCAGCGAAGAUAAGCAACGUCGGGCCUAGUCAGUACCUAGAUGGGUGAAGGCUUGGGGAAUAUUAGGUGCUGUAAG